CCAGGCACCGCCCUGGGAGAUGAAGUGGGGUCGUUCGGAUCUCAGCCUUGGUUGUGCUCCCUCCUCAUCAGCCUCAGGGCAGCUGCACUCUGCCUUCCCACGGCUGUUUCUCCACCGGCAUCUCCACAGCUCAAACAGUUUCUGGACCUCAAUUUUAUAUGCAGGUCCAAUAAGCAGCUGCUGAAGACUACACAUGUUCCAGGUCAUAGACGCCCUAUGCUGGGCCCCUCCUCGUCCAUGCUAGAAGUCAGCCACGCCGGCCUCCGCCUGCAGCUGUGGACGCCUGUCUCUGCUCCACCAGCUUCUUUCCACCUGAUGACUGCUGCCGCCUGCACAGGAAGAUGGAUGGCUGCUGUCAUCCAGGCAGAUUUCCCUGUUCUGGACAUUUCAUACAAAUGGAAUCAUAUAAUACAUGAUCCUUCGUGACUGGCUUCUUUCACUUAACAUAAUGUUCUCAAGGCUUAUCCUUAUUGUAUUUGUCUGUACUUCAUUCCUUUUUAUUUCAGGAUAAUCUUCUAUUGUAUAGAUGUACCACAUUUUAUUUACCCAUUCUUCAGACGGACAGUUGGGUUGUUUCUACCUUUUGGCUGUUACAAACAUCUGUGUACAAGUUUUGUGUGGAUAUAUGUUCUCAUUCCUUGUUCUCAGAAACUUAUAUAUAUAUCAUAUGAUCCUUUAAACUUAUAUAUAUACCAUAUGAUCCUUAAAACCCUAUGAGGUAGGUAAUAUUACUAUCCCUAAGGCUCAGAGAAGUUAAUUAACUUGGCCAAGGUCACGCAGCUUGUAAGUGAUGGAGCUGAGGCAGGAACCAGGCAGUC